GACGAACGCUGGCGGCGUGCUUAACACAUGCCAGUCGAACGGUGAAGGGGUCUGCUUUUGUGGGCCCUGGAUGAGUGGCGAACGGGUGAGUAACACGUGAGUAACCUGCCCCCUUCUUCUGGAUAACCGCAUGAAAGUGUGGCUAAUACGGGAUAUUCUGGGUCUGUCGCAUGAUGGGUCUGGGAAAGAUUGCGCCUUUGGGUGUUUUUGGUGGGGGAUGGGCUCGCGGCCUAUCAGCUUGUUGGUGGGGUGAUGGCCUACCAAGGCGGUGACGGGUAGCCGGCCUGAGAGGGUGGACGGUCACACUGGGACUGAGACACGGCCCAGACUCCUACGGGAGGCAGCAGUGGGGAAUAUUGCACAAUGGGCGCAAGCCUGAUGCAGCGACGCCGCGUGAGGGAGGGAGGCCUUCGGGUUGUAAACCUCUUUCGCCAGUGAAGCAGGCCUGCUCCUUGUGGGUGGGUUGACGGUAGCUGGAUAAGAAGCGCCGGCUAACUACGUG
rnacentral:rRNA from 1 species